rnacentral:rRNA from 1 species
GGGCCUGCACAAGCGGUGGAGUAUGUGGCUUAAUUCGAUGCAACGCGAAGAACCUUACCUGGCCUUGACAUGUAGUGGCCCGGGUGCGAAAUCACCCUUUUCUUCGGAACUGCUACACAGGUGCUGCAUGGCUGUCGUCAGCUCGUGUCGUGAGAUGUUGGUUAAGUCCCGCAACGAGCGCAACCCCCGUGUUCUGUUGCCACCCGGAUGCGAAUCCGGAGCACUCUGGACAGACUGCCUGGUUUAACCAGGAGGAAGGUGGGGAUGACGUCAAGUCAGUAUGGCCCUUACGGCCAGGGCUGCACACGUACUACAAUGCCCGGUACAAUGGGAAGCGAGACCGCGAGGUGGGAGCAAA